GGAUUAGAUACCCUGGUAGUCCACGCCGUAAACGAUGUCAACUAGCUGUUGGGUAUAUUAAUUGCUCGGUGGCGUAGCUAACGCGCUAAGUUGACCGCCUGGGGAGUACGGUCGCAAGAUUAAAACUCAAAGGAAUUGACGGGGGCCCGCACAAGCGGUGGAGCAUGUGGUUUAAUUCGAUGCAACGCGAAAAACCUUACCUACCCUUGACAUCAUCAGAACUUGUUAGAGAUAACUCGGUGCCUUCGGGAACUGAUUGACAGGUGCUGCAUGGCUGUCGUCAGCUCGUGUCG
rnacentral:rRNA from 1 species